rnacentral:rRNA from 1 species
GGUACAUCGGUGACAGGUGGUGCAUGGUUGUCGUCAGCUCGUGUCGUGAGAUGUUGGUUAAGUCCCGCAACGAGCGCAACCCCUAUUGUUAGUUGCCAUCAUUCAGUUGGGCACUCUAGCGAGACUGCCGGUAAUAAACCGGAGGAAGGUGGGGAUGACGUCAAAUCAUCAUGCCCCUUAUGACCUGGGCUACACACGUGCUACAAUGGUUGGUACAACGAGUUGCGAGUCGGUGACGGCGAGCUAAUCUCUUAAAGCCAAUCUCAGUUCGGAUUGUAGGCUGCAACUCGCCUACAUGAAGUCGGAAUCGCUAGUAAUCGCGGAUCAGCACGCCGCGGUGAAUACGUUCCCGGGCCUU